rnacentral:rRNA from 1 species
GACGGAAGGUGCAAGCGUUGCUCGGAAUCACUGGGCGUAAAGGGUGCGUAGGCGGUUUGUCGCGUCUGCUGUGAAAACCCGAGGCUCAACCUCGGGCCUGCAGUGGGUACGGGCAGACUAGAGUGCGGUAGGGGAGAUUGGAAUUCCUGGUGUAGCGGUGGAAUGCGCAGAUAUCAGGAGGAACACCAAUGGCGAAGGCAGAUCUCUGGGCCGUAACUGACGCUGAGGAGCGAAAGCAUGGGGAGCGAACAGG